UGGUGGAGUGAUUUGUCUGGUUAAUUCCGAUAACGAACGAGACCUUAACCUGCUAAAUAGCUAGGCCGGCUUUUGCUGGUCGCCGGCUUCUUAGAGGGACUGUCAGUGUCUAACUGACGGAAGUUUGAGGCAAUAACA
rnacentral:rRNA from 1 species